rnacentral:rRNA from 1 species
GGGGAAUAUUGCGCAAUGGGGCAACCCUGACGCAGCCAUGCCGCGUGAAUGAAGAAGGCCUUCGGGUUGUAAAGUUCUUUCGGUAGCGAGGAAGGCAUUUAGUUUAAUAGACUAGAUGAUUGACGUUAACUACAGAAGAAGCACCGGCUAACUCCGUGCCAGCAGCCGCGGUAAU